rnacentral:rRNA from 1 species
AUACGUAGGGGGCGAGCGUUGUCCGGAAUGAUUGGGCGUAAAGGGCGUGUAGGCGGUCUUGCAAGUCAGAAGUGAAAUUCCUGAGCUCAACUCGGGCGCUGCUUCUGAAACUGCAGGACUUGAGUGCUGGAGGGGAUAGCGGAAUUCCUAGUGGAGCGGUAAAAUGCGCAGAUAUUAGGAAGAACACCGGUGGCGAAGGCGGCUAUCUGGACAGUAACUGACGCUGAGGCGCGAAAGCGUGGGGAGCAAACAGGAUUAGAUACCCUGGUAGUCCACGCUGUAAACGAUGAAUACUAGGUGUGGGGGGACUGACCCCCUCCGUGCCGCAGUUAACACAAUAAGUAUUCCACCUGGGGAGUACGAUCGCAAGAUUGAAACUCAAAUGAAUUGACGGGG